rnacentral:rRNA from 1 species
ACUCAAAGGAAUUGACGGGGGCCCGCACAAGCGGUGGAACAUGUGGUUUAAUUCGAUGCUACGCGAAAAACCUCACCAAGGCUUGACAUGCAGGAAGUAGCGAACUGAAAGGGGAGCGACCUGUCAAGUCAGGAGCCUGCACAGGUGCUGCAUGGCUGUCGUCAGCUCGUGUCGUGAGAUGUUGGGUUAAGUCCCGCAACGAGCGCAACCAUUUUCUCUUGUUGCCACCAUAUUUGGUCGUAAGACUAAAGUAUGAGCACUCUAGAGAGACUGCCUGGGAUAACCAGGAGGAAGGUGGAGAUGACGUCAAGUCAGUACGGCCUUUAUGCCUUGGGCUACACACGUGUUACAAUGGGAAGUACAGAGGGUUGCCAACCCGCGAGGGGGAGCUAAUCUCAAAAAACUUUCCUCAGUUCAGAUUGGAGUCUGCAAUCCGACUCCAUGAAGCCGGAAUCGCUAGUAAUGGCAGAUCAGCACGCUGCCGUGAAUACGUUCCCGGGCCUUGCACACACCGCCCGU